GCCGGGUCACGAUGCCGACGGGCCGGAGCCGCCGCUUGCCUGCGCUUCACCAGCCGCCAAGCCGAGAAGCUCCAGCUGGGCCUCCGUGCUCGGAGGCGUUUUCGCCAUCGGGAUGUAUGCAACCGCCUAGCUUCUGGGCACCCUCAAUGCAUUUCUUCUCUCCGCCGAUGUUUCUCCUUAUGCUUCUUCUCGGGGCACGUGGCCGAAUGCAGGCUGCGUCUAGGAUGAUGCCUUGGACGCUGCGUUCACACAUGAGGCCCGCCCCGCCAGUACACAUCGGCCGACGCCCUGGAUCGCUUCUGUUUCAUCUGUUGCGGCACUUCAUGAUGUCGUACCCGAAAUGUGCAGCUUAGAAGCCACUAGCAGUUGUUUGCAUAGACGCUUCGCUAUCCACAAUGGACUUGAUCACUGUAGUUUUAAUAGAUUUUAAUAAAUCGCUUACAGAGUAAA